UGAGCAAUCUGCCCUUCUCUUUGGAAUAAGCGUUGGAAACGACGUCUAAUGCCGAAUACGACCUCCUUUCGCAUGAUCGGAGGUGGAAAGCUCCGGCGGAGAAGGAUGAGCUCGCGGCCUAUCAGCUAGUUGGUGUGGGUAAUGGCCCACCAAGGCGACGACGAGUAGCCGGCCUGAGAGGGUGACCGGCCACACUGGGACUGAGACACGGCCCAGACUCCUACGGG
rnacentral:rRNA from 1 species